AUUGAACGCUGGCGGCAGGCCUAACACAUGCAAGUCGAGCGGCAGCGCGGGGGCAACCCUGGCGGCGCGCGGCGGACGGGGGAGGAAUUCGUCGGAAUCUGCCUUCUUGUGGGGGAUAACGUAGGGAGACUUCCGGUAAUACCGCAUACGUCCUACGCGAGAAAGUGGGGGACCGCAAGGCCUCACGCAGAAAGAUGAGCCGACGACUGAUUAGCUAGUUGGUGGGGUAAAGGCCCACCAAGGCGACGAUCGGUAGCUGGUCUGAGAGGAUGAUCAGCCACACUGGGACUGAGACACGGCCCAGACUCCUACGGGAGGCAGCAGUGGGGAAUAUUGGACAAUGGGCGCAAGCCUGAUCCAGCCAUGCCGCGUGUGUGAAGAAGGCCUUCGGGUUGUAAAGCACUUUUGUCCGGAAAGAAAUCCCUGGAGCUAAUACCGUCGGGGGAUGACGGUACCGGAAGAAUAAGCACCGGCUAACUUCGUG
rnacentral:rRNA from 1 species